GUCACUUUUUCUCCUCUUCAAACUGUCAUAAACACUACCACAUUUAAGAAAAAAGGAGAUAAUUUUGUCCCAUAAAAAGUGUCUAAUUUCCCAGACCAUGCACAAUUAUGUUAUAAAUCAGGUGAACUUAACAUACAAAAUAAAACAUUUUCCCCCACUGACUUGAGGAUACAUAUACAUGUUAUAUUAUUCAAAAACUAGCAUGAGUAACAAAUGCAUCUUUUAUUUAGCUUAAUAAAGCAUCUCCAUCUUUCACUCCAUGGUCUUUUU
rnacentral:misc_RNA from 1 species